rnacentral:rRNA from 1 species
GCUACGGGAGGCAGCAGUGGGGAAUAUUGCACAAUGGGGGGAACCCUGAUGCAGCGACGCCGCGUGAGUGAAGAAGUAUUUCGGUAUGUAAAGCUCUAUCAGCGGGGAAGAAAAUGACGGUACCUGACUAAGAAGCCCCGGCUAACUACGUGCCAGCAGCCGCGGUAAUACGUAGGGGGCAAGCGUGCACCGGAUUUACUGGGUGUAAAGGGAGCGUAGACGGCUCGGCAAGCCAGAUGUGAAGGCCCGGGGCUCAACCCCGGAACUGCAUUUGGUACUGUGUGGCUGGAGUGUCGUAGAGGCAGGCGGAAUUCCUAGUGUAGCGGUGAAAUGCGUAGAGAUUAGGAGGAACACCAGUGGCGAAGGCGGCCUGCUGGACGAUGACUGACGUUGAGGCUCGAAAGCGUGGGGAGCAAACAGGAUUAGAUACCCCAGUAGUC